rnacentral:rRNA from 1 species
AAUAGCCUCUGGAAACGGAGAGUAAUACCGUAUACGCCCUUUGGGGGAAAGAUUUAUCGGAGAAGGAUCGGCCCGCGUUAGAUUAGGUAGUUGGUGGGGUAACGGCCUACCAAGCCUACGAUCUAUAGCUGGUUUUAGAGGAUGAUCAGCAACACUGGGACUGAGACACGGCCCAGACUCCUACGGGAGGCAGCAGUGGGGAAUCUUAGACAAUGGGGGCAACCCUGAUCUAGCCAUGCCGCGUGAGUGAUGAAGGCCUUAGGGUCGUAAAGCUCUUUCGCCUGUGAUGAUAAUGACAGUAGCAGGUAAAGAAACCCCGGCUAACUCCGUGCCAGCAGCCGCGGUAAUACGGAGGGGGUUAGCGUUGUUCGGAAUUACUGGGCGUAAAGCGCGCGUAGGCGGAUUAGAAAGUUGGGGGUGAAAUCCCGGGGCUCAACCUCGGAACUGCCUCCAAAACUGCUAGUCUAGAGUUCGAGAGAGGUGAGUGGAAUUCCGAGUGUAGAGGUGAAAUUCGUAGAUAUUCGGAGGAACACCAGUGGCGAAGGCGGCUCACUGGCUCGAUACUGACGCUGAGGUGCGAAAGUGUGGGGAGCAAACAGGAUUAGAUACCCUGGUAGUCCACACCGUAAACGAUGAAUGCCAGUCGUCGGGUAGUAUACUAUUCGGUGACACACCUAACGGAUUAAGCAUUCCGCCUGGGGAGUACGGUCGCAAGAUUAAAACUCAAAGGAGUUGACGGGGGCCCGCACAAGCGGUGGAGCAUGUGGUUUAAUUCGAAGC